GGUUUCUCACAGUUCUGCAGGCUGGAAAUUCAAGAUGAAGUCACCUGCAUUCAGUGUUUGAGUCUAAGACAGCAGUUUGUUGCUGCAUCCACUGGAGGGAAAAAAUACUGUAUCUUCUCAUGACGGAAGGAUCCGAAGGCAGGAAUAGGGACCAAGCUUUCUCUGUCAAGCCUUUUUGUGGUAACAUUAAUUCAUUCAUGAGGGUGCCAUCAUGAUGACAUAACCACUUCGCAAAGGAUUUCAUCUCCUCUCACUGUUGCAUAGGGGAUUAAUUUUCUAACACAUGAAUUUUGAGGGACACAUUCAGACCAUAGCAACUGGUUUAUAGCAACUAGGGAGCCCUAUGGUCUUCAUAAUAAACUGAUAUUUUGCUUUAGUAUGAAAUGAGAGGUCAGGGCUUGUAGCUGCCAUGAGACUGCUUCAUGUACAUCUCCCCUAGUGACUAUCACAGUUGAUUGACAGCUCCUGGGGUUCCCCUUCAUAUCCAUCAUUACCUGUAUUCCAAAAUCCCCUUCUCAUAGCUGUUUUCAGGCAAUGACAAAGCAUAGUGAGGUGCCCUGCAGGCCCGUUCCUGCUCGAAAUGGAGGAAAAAUGUGGCUUGAUAACUCUCCAUUGGCCUGCAAAAAUACAUUAAGAACUGUGCUACUGUCGGAAACUCAUUUUGCCUAACCCUCCUUAUUUUCUUUCCUCCUUCAUAAAGUUUACAAAUAUUGUGACUGAAAGCUCUCUGUCUAUUCCUGCUUCCUCCACCUCAUCUUGCAGAACUGUUCAUCCAAAUAAAUUGCUCACCCAUAUAAUCCCAUUUUGGCAGAUUCAGUUUUAGAACUUUGCCUUCACUAUUAGUCUCAAGGGAAAUAUGAUAAAAUACACACACACACACACACACACACACACGUAAAUAUUUCUCAAUCUCUUAUAGGUAAAAUGUACUCUUACCACAAAUAAAUCCAAUUUGUGAAUGCUUAAAUUGUGCUUUACAGAAUAUAAGAAUUUAAAAGCUUCACAGGAAAAAUAUUAAUACUGUUUACGGGAUUCCAAUAUGUGAAUAAUAUUUACAUUACAGUUCCAUAUAAACCUUUUACUUCUAUUUAGUAUGCCAUCAUGUCACUGCAGAGCUAUGAAAAUGAGAGAUCUCCUAGUUAUGAACAAAGAAACGUGUUUUACUGGAAGCUAAUUGGCAGGUUGAGCAUGUGGAAAUAUCUGGGCAUGCACUGAAGACAUCGUUUGCAUCUCCUCAGUCCACAUAGCAGAAUGAAUGUUGUUUGUGUCCAUUUAUGCAGGAUACUCUAGAAAACCAAACUGAAGCAAUGUUAGGAUGCAUUUUUAAAAGAAAAUUAAGGAAAAUAACACAUACUCUUUAUUAUGUAUUAAAGCAACCAUUUCAUUCUAUUUUAGUGGAAGCUGUUGUUUAUUAUCGAAUUAUUUGCUUGGGAAGGAAGAUAUAGGGUUUUUCUAUUUAGGUUGUGUCUGUUUCCCAUGAGAAAAGUUGAAGACAAAUCUUACCAUUCAACCCAAAGUCCAUGAAUCAACAUGUGUGCCUUGAAGCUAAGGAGCUGCUAACCUACUGGCUGGAUGUUGUGUGGCUUGCCAAUAGAGUUCUGCAUGACAGGAACAACGGUUUUAAGUGGACUAAUCAGAGCUAUUAAUGCAAAUGUGGUGAAGGCAGGAGCUUUUCUAUAGGAAGGGCUGUAUCUUUUUGCUAAUAACAAUGCCUGAUACAGACUAGUGAUAUCUUGAAAUACAGCAUAUUCUGGGUGAUUGAGAUGUAAGAUAGAGGAGAAAGAGAGCAGCAUGUAGCAGAAAUAGAUGCCAAAAGAUGAAUUAAGAUGAUGCAUUAAGCUUAAAACCUGAGGGACAGAAAACUGUAUAUAAGUUGAAGGGUUUGAGUAAAAAGAUUAUAGGAAUUAGAUAAGUGAGGACUAUGGAGAAUAGAGAGAAUUUAAAGUGAGAUGACAAGUGUUCUAGGAACAGAGACUGGGAAUAGCCACCACGUGGUGAUGGGCAGUAGCUUGGGAAGAAUGCUUAUAACAUGCAAAUUAUCUGCUUACAAAAGGCCAUGACUUCUGUUAAGCAAGAAUAGAGCUAAGUGAAAAGAAAGGAAAUUGAAAAAUAGAGAAAAUGCGGAGAAAACUAGAAUCUCUAUAGACAACAUCAAUGCAGCAUCAACUACGUGAACAGCUUUUGAGCACAAAGAAGUAUUGUUUUGACUUUAGAGGCAAUUAGGCCUUUAUUAGGUUUACCUGUAGGAUAGUUGAUGUUGUUUAUUCCCUAUGAUGCUUGUGAUAAAAUCUUCACAAAUUUAUAUAAUCAAUGUAUGUUUUCAAUCCUUACAACCCAAAUAACCAAUCACAACUUUCAGUAUGUCAUUUGAAAAAAAAAAAAAAAAAAGAUAAUCAGAAGUGUAAUUCAGUUAGCAAGUAUCAGUAGUGAAGUAUACAUUGUUAUUUGUUAAUACUAAAUAUGAUUGAAAAAUCGAAGUAGAUGAAAUAUGGGAAGCAUUAUUUUGGAGAAAUAAGCUUUAUGCCGAAAACAUAUGUUUAUAAAAAUACUUUGUGAAUAAACCUAUUGUCUAAUAUUUAAGAGUUGAAGUAUGCUAUCAUAAGACCUUCCUUAAUUGAUGAAAUGAUGCAAAGCAGAUGAUGUUGCUGCACUAACUGAAGUAUAGACAUGAACAGAAAAUUGUUUCUUUAUUUCCAUGUUCUGUAAGUCGAGAACUAGAGCUCAAGAUUCGUUUUUUUUUUUUUUUUUUUUCCAUUUCCCUGGGAACAGAGCAACAGUCUCUCUGGGUCUAAAACAUCCUUUUCUCAGUACAUCCCACAGCAUCAUAUAGAAAUAUGUUGCAAUCAGUUGCCAAGUCAGAUCCUAGCUUAAUGUCAGCAAUUUUCUUUCUGCAACCAAUUUUGCACUCAGCAUUAAGAGGAAAUAUUGAAGGGAGACAUACCUUUUAUGUUUGUAAAAUUUAUACUUCUUGGGAUAGAAAAACAAUCUCAUGUUUAUUGUCAUGAGAUUUUGAGAAUAAGAAGAAAAUGAAACAUUAUAGAAAAUAUUAUAUUAUUUAACUGUCCUGUUCUAGAAUACUUCCUAAGCCUGAUUAUUUUUUGCCAAAUUAAAUUAAUAUUUGGAUAUAGACAGCUUUUCAGAGUGGCAGUAUUAUAGUCAAUGAAGAUUAUCUGAGGCACAAUUAUUGCUAAUUGGACAUAGAAACCACCUUCACUCUUAUAUAUAAAAAUUAUUAUGUGCUACAUUAGCUAUUUCAGUAGAAUUGAUAAAAGAAAGAAUGUUGUAUUCAUGUGCUUGUCUUCCUGGCUAGAGGACCUGUUUUAAUUAAUCAGUUUAUGGAGUUUGGAAAUAUAUGUAGCUGAGUGCUCAUGUAAAUUUUGAAUACAUUCAUGCAUCUUUUUUUAAAAAAAAAAAAGAUUGAAAUUCAAAACCAUUUUCUUACAUACUCAGUAGAAGUUGUUAUGAGCCAACAGUUUUUGAGCUAUACUAUUUUAAACAUCUAAAGUAAAUUAUUUGACAUAUAAAAAGCCUUCUUCAUUUAAAAAUAUAUCUUUUAAAAUAAUUUUACAAGUGAUAGCAUCUCAUUUUAGGAGAAGAGACAUCAAUGACAACAGUUGCAGUAACUCAAUGCUGAAUAUGUUUUUAAAUACAAGAUUCUGUGUUCAGCAUUGUACAUACAUUAUCCAAUUUUAUCUUGAUAAUAUGGUUUAGUGAUGUGUUUAGUCUGGGUUCUCUCAGACAGAACCUAUGUAUACAUAUACAUAUACAUAUACAUCAUAUACAUACACACAAAGAGAAAGAGAAAGAGAGAGACAUAUGGAUCUCACCAUUUAUUAGAGGAAUUGGACCAUGUGAUUUUGGAGGCUGAGAAGUUCCAGAACAGGUUGUCUGCAAGCUGGAUAACCAGGGAAGUGGGUAGUGUAGCUCUCUGCAAGUCUUAAAGCUUCAGAACCAGGGAUGAUGGAUGACUGAUGGUAUAACUCAGUCAGAGACCAAAGGCCUGAGAACUCGGACGCCACUGGUGCAACUGCUGGAAUCCAAAGACCAGAGAACCUGGAGUGCUUAUGUCCAAAAGCAGCAGAGUGAGGAUGUCUUAGGGCCAGGGGAGAGAGAGCUUUCCUAUGCAAUUUUGUUUUAUCCAUACCCCAGACCAGUUGGAUGGUACCCACCCACAUUGAAAGUGGAUGUCCUGCUACUAAAUAUUUUAACUAUAAUUUUAAUUGUGAAAUAAGCACUGAAUUCUUGUUGCUAAUAAUCUGGUAAGAUCCAUUUAACUAUGAAAUAAGUACCCGGAAGAACUCCUACAUUUUAGGCUUUCAAAGUUUACGGCUUUUUGGAGACUUUUUUUUUUUUUUUUUUUUUUUUGAGAAUAAUGAAAUUCAAACACUGCGAUUAAAAUAUAUGUUUACUUAUACAGUAUUUAUGAAUGAAUAUAUAUAAAUAAUAAUUACUAUUUAUAAUUUAAAAAUAUAGUAAAGUCUCUUU